rnacentral:rRNA from 1 species
GAUGAACGCUGGCGGCGUGCCUAAUACAUGCAAGUCGAGCGAACGGACGAGAAGCUUGCUUUUCUGAUGUUAGCGGCGGACGGGUGAGUAACACGUGGAUAACCUACCUAUAAAACUGGGAUAACUUCGGGAAACCGGAGCUAAUACCGGAUAAUAUUUUGAACCGCAUGGUUCAAAAGUGAAAGACGGUCUUGCUGUCACUUAUAGAUGGAUCCGCGCUGCAUUAGCUAGUUGGUAAGGUAACGGCUUACCAAGGCAACGAUGCAUAGCCGACCUGAGAGGGUGAUCGGCCACACUGGAACUGAGACACGGUCCAGACUCCUACGGGAGGCAGCAGUAGGGAAUCUUCCGCAAUGGGCGAAAGCCUGACGGAGCAACGCCGCGUGAGUGAUGAAGGUCUUCGGAUCGUAAAACUCUGUUAUUAGGGAAGAACAUAUGUGUAAGUAACUGUGCACAUCUUGACGGUACCUAAUCAGAAAGCCACGGCUAACUACGUG